CAGCAGCCGCGGGAAUACGAAGGGGGCUAGCGUUGUUCGGAUUUACUGGGCGUAAAGCGCACGUAGGCGGAUCGAUCAGUCAGGGGUGAAAUCCCAGAGCUCAACUCUGGAACUGCCUUUGAUACUGUCGAUCUGGAGUAUGGAAGAGGUGAGUGGAAUUCCGAGUGUAGAGGUGAAAUUCGUAGAUAUUCGGAGGAACACCAGUGGCGAGGGCGGCUCACUGGUCCAUUACUGACGUUGAGGUGCGAAAGCGUGGGGAGCAAACAGGAUUAGAUACCCCAGUAGUCCCUGUCUCUUAUAC
rnacentral:rRNA from 1 species